rnacentral:rRNA from 1 species
GAUCAUGGCUCAGAUUGAACGCUGGCGGCGUGCUUAACACAUGCAAGUCGUACGCGAAAGGGACUUCGGUCCCGAGUAAAGUGGCGCACGGGUGAGUAACACGUGGAUAAUCUGCCUCUAUGAUGGGGAUAACAGUUGGAAACGACUGCUAAUACCGAAUACGCUCAUGAUGAACUUUGUGAGGAAAGGUGGCCUCUGCUUGCAAGCUAUCGCAUAGAGAUGAGUCCG